GGGUAAGUCCUAUACGACCAGCUCCUUGCGAAUUCCCCCAGGACUUGACCGUAGCAAGGGUAGUAGGUCGAGCGGUGCGAUGUAGAUUGCUUGCCCGUA
rnacentral:SRP_RNA from 1 species